GACGGAGGAUGCAAGCGUUAUCCGGAAUGAUUGGGCGUAAAGCGUCCGCAGGUGGCAGUUCAAGUCUGCUGUCAAAGACCGGGGCUUAACUUCGGAAAGGCAGUGGAAACUGAACAGCUAGAGUAUGGUAGGGGCAGAGGGAAUUCCUGGUGUAGCGGUGAAAUGCGCAGAUAUCAGGAGGAACACCAAUUGCGAAGGCAGCACUCUGGGACGUGACUGACGCUGAGACGCGAAAGCGUGGGGAGCAAACAGG
rnacentral:rRNA from 1 species